GCAGCCUGGAGGAGGAAAGGUAGGCCUCCCGCGUGAGCCUCCUGUGCUGUAAUAGAGGGCUCCUCACCCAGGAGACCCCCUCUUCCCCUGGGUUUCACGCUCUGUUGCUCUCCUGAAAUUAAUUUUUGAACAAGCAGACCCACAUUUUCAUCUUGCAGUGUAGCGGUUCUGAUUGCCAGAGAGUCCUGAAGGCGCGGGGGGCGGGGGCUGGACCAGCAGGGAGUCAACCUGGGAGCCUUGUCUUGCCUUCAUUCGCUCAUUUUUUUUUUCACUCAUUCAUUGGUGUGGCCAACACUGACUUAUCCAACGCUGAAUCAUGUGCCAGGCUCUUCUGGGUACUGGAAACUUCAGCUAUGAAAGACUGCCGUCAAGGAGCCGGCACCCUGGCAGGGACAUGCUGAACAGACAAGUAUGUGUCGGGAAUGCACUGGGAGGCUAGAGAGCAUCCGAUGUGAGACUCGGCCCUGUCUUCUAAUCAUGGCCCGCAGGGGGGACUGAGCAAGCAGCCCCCGGGGAGCAGGGCUGCCCCGAGGGGAGGGUUGGGUGAGCCUUGAGUCUGCCAGGAAGGGUGAGACGUUCCUAGAGGAGGCACUGUUUGCUCCUCUUUUGGGAGGAAGACUGUGACUUUCAGCUGGGUUUCCCCAGACCCAGGCCAGGUGAUGCUCGGUAAAUAAAGUGAGGGGUUAACGAAGGCACAAGUGGGGGGAAGUUGCAUGAACAAGCAAGCCAGGUGUGGGUCUCACCAGACCCGCAGGGCACGGGCACAAUGCUGUGUCUUCCCGCAUCUGCUCCGUCCCCUUCCCUUGCUUUCUUUUCCUCCUUAGCUCACACCUGGAACGUGUGUACAUCUGUGGCCCGUCUCUCCCGCCGUAACGAACGGUCUAGGACAUUGCCUAUCUUGUCCAUGGCUCUAGCUCCAGCACAUAGGACAGCGGUGACCAGCACACCCGAGGUGGAGCCAGGCGACCAGGUUCUGGUCAGGGGAGCGGAGGCAGAAGCAAUGGCAUCGAUACCCCGAGCGCCCUCGCGAACUCCGUGCUGAAGACGGCGGAGUGCGUCAGCCUGAGCCCCCCUCCCCACCCCGUGAGUGGCAAAGCAGAGUUUCCCCGCUGAAGCUGGGCCCCCAUGAGUGAGAAGAAAACUUCUACCGUGCUAAGCCGCUAACGUUACACAGUUUGCCUGUUAGAGCAGUCGCACUGCCCUUCCUCACUGAGAACUCAAAGACACAUAACACGCAAUCCCCAUCUGAGAGUCAAGUGGGACUCCCUUCUCUGGGCCACCUCGAUUCCUUUUAAUGAGCAAUGAAAUGUAAGUUUCUGGACACGAAAGAGGGAGACUAAAGUCGGUCUCCUUUACUCUCUACUCAAAACGAUGCUGAAGAUUGACAGAUUUACCCAUCUUUCUGCCUCCGCUGAUUUAUAAGUGUUUCAAAGAUCUGAGCCAUACAGAACUCUCGAUUUCUUUUUUUAUUUUUUAAUGUUUACGUAUUUAUUUAGAGAGAGAGAGAGAGGCAGGGGAGGAGCAGAGAGAGAGAGGGAGGGAGGGAGGGAGGGAGAGAGAGAGAGAGAGAGAGAGAGAGAGAGAGAGAGAAUCCCAAGCAGCCUCCACGCUAUCAGCACAGAGCCUGAUGCAGGGCUUGAACUCAAGAAAUGUGAGAUCAUGACCUGAGCCAAAAUCAAGAGCUGGAAGCUUAACCAACUGGGGGGCUUAAAACAACACAAAUUUCUUGUCUGGCGGGUCUGGAACCUGGAGGUUGGAAAUCAAGGUGUCGACAGGGACUCCCUCCCUUUGAGGGAUCUAGGAGAGGGUCCCUCCUCGCCUCUUCCAGCUUCUAGUGGCUGGUCCUAAUCUUUGGUGCCCCUUAGCUUCCAGCUGCAUAAUAGAAUCCCUGUCCCUGUCAUUGUCACAUGCUCAUCUUUCCUCUGUGUCUGUUCGUCUCCUCUUUGUAUAAGGACACUAGUCACAUUGGAUUAAGGGCCCACGCUCCUCCAGCAUGACCUCAUCUUAACUUGCAUUGUAAUUACAUCUGCAAAUAAGGUCACAGGCACAGGGACCAUGGGAGGGACUUCAGCUUAUCUUUGGGCAAGGGGGCACAAUUCAGCCCAUGACAGGCAGCCUAUUAAAGCAUUAUUAUUUGAUUUAUAUAACUAGAAAAUCUCUAGAUAAGGUAAACAGAGAUCUAUCCUGAAUCAUUACAAGACUCUCACUCAAUUCCCAAACCUGAGCCAGUUCACAGACCCAGGGUCCUCGAAGGAAGAGGGGGGCGGGUCUCCUUGACAAAAGCCUUGCAACAUUGCCAUAAACAUCCUGGGAAUAGGAGCGCCUGGGUGGCUCAGUCGGUUGAGCGUCUGACUUUGGUUCCCGUCCUGAUCUCGCGGUCCGUGAGUUCGAGCCCCGCGUCGGGCUCCGUGCUGACAGCUCGGAGCCCGGAGCCUGCUUUGGAUUCUGUGCCUCCCUCUCUCUCUGCCCCUCCCCCGCUC